GACGAACGCUGGCGGCGCGCUUAACACAUGCAAGUCGAACGGAAAGGCCUGCUUUCCCUUGUGGAUUGCGGGUACUCGAGUGGCGAACGGGUGAGUAACACGUGAGUGAUCUGCCCCUAACUUGGGUAUAAGCCUGGUAAACUGGGUCUAAUUCCCGAUAGGACUGCAGGGUGGUUCCUGUGGUGGAAUACGAUUUUCUAGUGGUUGGGGAUGAGCUCGCGGCCUAUCAGUUUGUUGGUGGGGUAAUGGCCUACGAAGGCGGCGACGGGUAGGCGGCCUGGGGGAGUCGACGGGCGCGUUGGGACGGAGACACGGGGCAGGCGACUACGGGAGGCAGCCGUGGGGAGGAUUGCACGGUGGGUGGAAGCCUGAUGCAGCGACGCCGAGGCAGGGAUGACGGGCUUGGGGUUGUGACCUUCUGUCGGUCGAGAUGAAGCCGCCUGGUUGGAAGGGUGGUGACGGUAGUGGUAGAAGAAGCACCGGCUAACUACGUG
rnacentral:rRNA from 1 species